rnacentral:rRNA from 1 species
GAGAUCGGGAUAAACACCUGGAAACAGAUGCUAAUACCGGAUAACAACAGAUGAUGCCUAUCAACUGUUUAAAAGAUGGUUCUGCUAUCACUCUUGGAUGGACCUGCGGUGCAUUAGCUAGUUGGUAGGGUAACGGCCUACCAAGGCGAUGAUGCAUAGCCGUGUUGAGAGACUGAUCGGCCACAUUGGGACUGAGACACGGCCCAAACUCCUACGGGAGGCAGCAGCAGGGAAUCUUCCACAAUGGACGCAAGUCUGAUGGAGCAACGCCGCGUGAGUGAAGAAGGGUUUCGGCUCGUAAAGCUCUGUUGUUGGUGAAGAAGGACAGGGGUAGUAACUGACCUUUGUUUGACGGUAAUCAAUUAGAAAGUCACGGGCUAACUACGUGCCAGCAGCCGCGGUAAAU